rnacentral:rRNA from 1 species
UACGUAGGGGGCAAGCGUUGUCCGGAAUCAUUGGGCGUAAAGCGCGUGUAGGCGGCCAGAAAAGUCCGCUGUGAAAACUCGAGGCUCAACUUCGAGCUGUCGGUGGAAACUUUCUGGCUAGAGUCCGGAAGAGGAGAAUGGAAUUCCUGGUGUAGCGGUGAAAUGCGCAGAUAUCAGGAAGAACCCCCGUGGCGAAGGCGGUUCUCUGGGACGGUACUGACGCUGAGACGCGAAAGCGUGGGGAGCGAACAGG